UUGGAGUGGGACGAGCUAUUGCAGAAUCCAUUUCUUGCCUUUUACCAGAGAUGGCCGUGGCUACGCCCAGUAUACUCCAUUCUAUCAAUCUUUGGACUAUCUUGAUCACGCUUCGGCGU
rnacentral:snRNA from 1 species